GACAACAUGCCAGAGUGGUUAAUGGGUAUGACUCGAAAUCAUAUGGUUUCGGCCGCGGAGGUUCGAGUCCUCCUGUUGUCG
rnacentral:tRNA from 1 species